rnacentral:rRNA from 1 species
GACGAACGCUGGCGGCGUGCUUAACACAUGCAAGUCGAACGGGCCCGCCCCUGUUUUUGGGGGUGGGUUGAGUGGCGAACGGGUGAGUAUCACGUGAGUAACCUGCUCCCUGCUCCUGGAUAACUGCUUGAAAGGGCGGCUAAUACGGGGUGUGCCGGCUGGUCCGCAUGGGCCUGGUCGGGAUAGUUUCAUCUUCGGGUGUUUCGGUGGGGGAUGGGCUCGCGGCCUAUCAGCUUGUUGGUGGGGUGAUGGCCCACCAAGGCGGUGACGGGUAGCCGGCGUGGGAGGGUGGGCGGACACGCUGGGACAGAGAGACGGGCCAGCGUCCUGCGGGAGGCAGCAGUGGGGGGUAUUGCACAAUGGGCGGAAGCCUGAUGCAGCGACGUCGCGUGAGGGAUGGAGGCCUUCGGGUUGUGAACCUCUUUCUCCGGGGGUGAAGGCCCUGUCCGUUGCGGCGGGGUUGACGGUAGCCGGGUAUGAAGCGCCGGCUAACUACGUG